CGGGAGGAGACGGAGAUCGCGGCGACUCAAGAGAGGCCAAGUGGGUCCGGGCAGUGCCCGCGCCAGGCUCUGAGCUGCAGCCCCAAGGGCGGGGGUCGAAGGAAGAGGCGAAGAGGCGGAGAGGCGGCUUCACGGAUAAGCUUUUGCAGGCGACGCUCUCCGCCCGCCGGACGGGAGGCGGAGUAGCAGCCCGAUUAAAGAAGCAGCCUGGAAGGAAG
rnacentral:lncRNA from 1 species